AAUGGCACUUCACCGGCCUCCCCAAAUCCAAAAAGCGUAAUGCCUGCCAAAACAUAAAAACUACCUUCCCCCAACCAAUAAAAUUUGCCAUUAUAGACCAACAAGAACCCACCCUUCUCUUUCCCUCUCCACCUCUCUCUCUUUCUCUCUCUCCCUCUCAAAACCCCAUAACAAAAGCAAGACCAACAACCCAGAAUAGCUUUUAUAAAAGACUGAGAGAGGGGGAGAGAGAGGUGUCUGUGCUUGGCUUUUACCCAUUUUCCUGUUCUGCAAUGGCGGUGGAAGACAGGUCCUUCCCUUUGUCUCCCACUCUGUGCAGUGACCCAGUUGCCCUUGAGUGAAAGGUUCUUGAAAUUCUAGAGGCGGAGGAGCAUACGGUUCGUCAUCGAUCAUGGGUAUUUGUCACCACACACUCAAAUGUCAAGAAGAAGACAGUGGGGGAAGCAUGUUGAUGACUAUGACUUUCAUGGUUGUUGGUCAUAAUGAUGUGAUGAUGAAGUUGUAUUGUUAUAUUUCCCCAAAUUUUCCAUACACUGAGUUGAUUUUAUAUUAAAAAAAAUAGCGGUAUAGUUCCUAA